rnacentral:rRNA from 1 species
GAUGAACGCUGGCGGCGUGCCUAAUACAUGCAAGUCGAGCGAACAGACGAGGAGCUUGCUCCUCUGACGUUAGCGGCGGACGGGUGAGUAACACGUGGAUAACCUACCUAUAAGACUGGGAGAACUUCGGGAAACCGGAGCUAAUACCGGAUAAUAUAUUGAACCGCAUGGUUCAAUAGUGAAAGACGGUUUUGCUGUCACUUAUAGAUGGAUCCGCGCCGCAUUAGCUGGUUGGUAAGGUAACGGCUUACCAAGGCGACGAUGCGUAGCCGACCUGAGAGGGUGGUCGGCCACCCUGGAACUGAGACACGGUCGAGACUCCUACGGGAGGCAGCAGUAGGGAAUCUUCCGCAAUGGUCGAAAGCCUGACGGAGCAACGCCGCGUGAGUGAUGAAGGUCUUCGGAUCGUAAAACUCUGUUAUUAGGGAAGAACAAAUGUGUAAGUAACUAUGCACGUCUUGACGGUACCUAAUCAGAAAGCCACGGCUAACUACGUG